CGUGAUGCGGAGCUUUGUGCGUCCUGCAUUUGCCCUCGGGGCGUUGUGUUGUUCCUUUGCCUAAAACCGUGGGCUGCCUGCCUGCUCCUCCUUCGACUGGUUAUGAGCAGGAAAAGCGAAGCCGAGAGCAGAGGAUUUUAAGGAGUUCAAAUAAAAAGGGCUGCCAUGAAGUGUUUGUGAAGCUACUGCGCCAGCCUGCCCUGUGAUGGGAGUUCAUUCAAAGGCCAUGUUGUUUCAGGACAAGCAUCAGUAGCAAUUACCACUUCCAGCUUUUCUCUGGAAGUGUGAGUUUUUGCC